rnacentral:lncRNA from 1 species
UUACUUGCUAGCUGGUAUGUAAUUUAUAUUUACCAACUAUUUGAUCAAUUGAUGGUUGUUAUUUUUUAUCAAUUCAGAUAAACAAAUGACUAGAUUACGUGUUCGGCUAAACAUAGAAUUAACUCUUUAACAAAUUGCAGUACAUAUGAUUAAAAUAGUUGUUUAGCCGGAUAUAACUUUAUAAGUAUAACUAUUUUUAAUAUUA